rnacentral:rRNA from 1 species
CCUUCGGGGAGUGCAUAAAGUGGCGCACGGGUGAGUAACACGUAAGUAAUCUACCCUCGGGUGGGGAAUAACAUCGGGAAACCGAUGCUAAUACCGCAUAAUGCAGCGGCACCGCAAGGUGACAGUUGUUAAAGAUUUAUUGCCUGGGGAGGAGCUUGCGGCAGAUUAGCUAGUUGGUAAGGUAACGGCUUACCAAGGCGACGAUCUGUAUCCGGUCUAAGAGGACGGUCGGACACACUGACACUGAAUAACGGGUCAGACUCCUACGGGAGGCAGCAGUCGGGAAUUUUGGGCAAUGGGGGAAACCCUGACCCAGCAACGCCGCGUGAAGGAUGAAGUAUUUCGGUAUGUAAACUUCGAAAGAAUAGGAAGAAUUAAUGACGGUACUAUUUAUAAGGUCCGGCUAACUACGUGCCAGCAGCCGCGGUAAUACGUAGGGACCAAGCGUUGUUCGGAUUUACUGGGCGUAAAGGGCGCGUAGGCGGCGCGGUAAGUCACUUGUGAAAUCUCUGAGCUUAACUCAGAACGGCCAAGUGAUACUGCAGUGCUAGAGUGUGGAAGGGGCAAUCGGAAUUCUUGGUGUAGCGGUGAAAUGCGUAGAUAUCAAGAGGAACACCUGAGGUGAAGACGGGUUGCUGGGCCAACACUGACGCUGAGGCGCGAAAGCCAGGGGAGCAAACGGGAUUAGAUACCCCGGUAGUCCUGGCCCUAAACGAUGAAUACUUGGUGUCUGGAGUUUUAGUGCUCCGGGUGCCGUCGCUAACGUUUUUAGUAUUCC